UACGUAGGUGGCAAGCGUUGUCCGGAAUUAUUGGGCGUAAAGCGCGCGCAGGCGGUUCCUUAAGUCUGAUGUGAAAGCCCACGGCUCAACCGUGGAGGGUCAUUGGAAACUGGGGGAACUUGAGUGCAGGAGAGAAGAGUGGAAUUCCACGUGUAGCGGUGAAAUGCGUAGAGAUGUGGAGGAACACCAGUGGCGAAGGCGACUUUCUGGUCUGUAACUGACACUGAGGCGCGAAAAGCGUGGGGGAGCGAACAGG
rnacentral:rRNA from 1 species